rfam:Aurantimonas sp. Leaf443 contig_2, whole genome shotgun sequence.
CUCCUGGUCUCCAAAGCCGGGAAUACUGAAGAGGCACACCAUCCUUGCCUGAAGUGCGGCGGGUCCAAGCCCUCCAAGCCAUGGCAGACUAACCGAGACGGACGCGUCGCGUUCGCAUCGGCUAUCGUCGCGUCUC